rnacentral:rRNA from 1 species
UACGUAGGGUGCGAGCGUUGUCCGGAAUUAUUGGGCGUAAAGGGCUCGUAGGCGGCUCGUCACGUCGGCUGUGAAAACUCAGGGCUCAACCCUGAGCGUGCUUCCGAUACGGGCAGACUAGAGGUAUGCAGGGGAGAACGGAAUUCCUGGUGUAGCGGUGGAAUGCGCAGAUAUCAGGAGGAACACCGGUGGCGAAGGCGGUUCUCUGGGCAUUACCUGACGCUGGAGGAGCGAAAGCAUGGGGAGCGAACAGG